rnacentral:rRNA from 1 species
UGCAGCAACGCCGCGUGAGGGAUGACGGCCUCUCGGGUUGUAAACCUCUUUUAGCAGGGAAGAAGCGAAAGUGACGGUACCUGCAGAAAAAGCGCCGGCUAACUACGUGCCAGCAGCCGCGGUAAUACGUAGGGCGCAAGCGUUAUCCGGAAUUAUUGGGCGUAAAGAGCUCGUAGGCGGUUUGUCGCGUCUGCUGUGAAAUCCCGAGGCUCAACUUCGGGUCUGCAGUGGGUACGGGCAGACUAGAGUGCGGUAGGGGAGAUUGGAAUUCCUGGUGUAGCGGUGGAAUGCGCAGAUAUCAGGAGGAACACCGAUGGCGAAGGCAGAUCUCUGGGCCGUAACUGACGCUGAGGAGCGAAAGGGUGGGGAGCAAACAGGCUUAGAUACCCUGGUAGUCCACCCCGUAAACGUUGGGAACUAGUUGUGGGGUCCAUUCCACGGAUUCCGUGACGCAGCUAACGCAUUAAGUUCCCCGCCUGGGGAGUACGGCCGCAAGGCUAAAACUCAAAGGAAUUGACGGGGACCCGCACAAGCGGCGGAGCAUGCGGAUUAAUUCGAUGCAACGCGAAGAACCUUACCAAGGCUUGACAUAUACGAGAACGCUGCAGAAAUGUAGAACUCU